GACGUAGGGCGCAAGCGUUGUCCGGAUUUAUUGGGCGUAAAGAGCUCGUAGGCGGUCUGUUGCGUCGGCUGUGAAAACCCGGGGCUCAACUCCGGGCCUGCAGCCGAUACGGGCAGACUAGAGUUCGGCAGGGGAGACUGGAAUUCCUGGUGUAGCGGUGAAAUGCGCAGAUAUCAGGAGGAACACCGGUGGCGAAGGCGGGUCUCUGGGCCGAUACUGACGCUGAGGAGCGAAAGCGUGGGGAGCGAACAGG
rnacentral:rRNA from 1 species